CGUGAGGAAAAACACAAACCAGCUUCCGAUAUAUGAAUUCUAUGGGUUCAACAAUCUGAGAUCAAAACCCUAAUCUGAAUGCUCUGAACCCUCCAAUUCCAACCCUGCAGUUCCUCCAUUUCCUAAGUAGGUCCUGAUGGCAAGCACCUCGGGCCAGGGAUUUAAUCCAAGCAGGAACUAUAGGCGUUGGCUAGAUGAGACAUUUGAUGGCCAUGAAACGGCAGAGGAUGAGCUAUCAGAUAGUCUGGAUGGAAAUGAUGAUAUGGUUCAACAAUCUAUUGAUAAUUUACCUGUAAGUUUGGAACCUUUAGAACCAUGUGUUGGCAUGGAGUUUCAAUCAGCAGAGGAUGCUAGAGAAUUUUAUGAGAUGUAUGGUAGGCGUAUGGGAUUUACCAUUCGGAACAAUCGUACUCGUCGUUCACUUAAAGACAACUCCAUAAUUGGUCGGGAGUUUGUUUGUUCAAAAGAAGGUUUUCGUGUAGAAAAAUAUGCAAACAGAGAACAUAGAAUUCUUCCAUCGAGGCCGAUCACCAGAGAAGGAUGUAAUGCAAUGUUGAGGAUUGCUGCAAAGGAUGAAGGAAAAUGGGCUAUAUAUGGUUUUGUUAAAGAGCAUAAUCAUGAACUGAAUCCUAGCAAAAUGCCACCACGACGGUCGCAUAGAAUUGCAUUUUGUGAGGAUCAAAAGGAUCUAAAAAUCAGAGAACUGUCCACAGAGCUGCAUCGGGAGAGAAAAAAAUCUGCUGCUUAUCAAGAGCAGCUACAGAUGAUUUUGAAAUACAUUGAGGAGCACACUCGUCGGUUAUCAUUGAAAGUUGAAAUAGUAGUUAAUAAUUUGAGGGAACUUGACUCUGAAGAGCAAGACUGUUCUGAUUCUGACUAAGGUGACUGUCAAUGGAUCAUCUCUAUUCUUAUUAAAAUUGGUCAGAUGCACUGGUGUUUCUUCCUAAAUUGGAUAACUAAUUUCAGGACAAAUUAAAAGGAAAUCCAUACCAAUGAUAACGGAUAGGUGGUGGGCAUUGAGCAGAUCAAAUCAUCAGGAGAUUCUCACUUGCAUCUGACCCUGCAACAACCAACGCUGAAUUUUCUAAGCAAAAUUCUUCCUUACAAUGAUGGAGAGAACACGCGAGCAUUGGCCGGACCAUAUCUGCAGAAUUUCCUUCCUUCAUAGACUGCAAUGGCCACCAAUAGCAUGGCCAACGUCUGCUCAUCAUGGGGUUGCGUUUGUAAGAACUUGUCAUCACACAUCAUACUUUUUUCAUUCUAGUCAGCACUCUAGAACUGCAAGACAUCUGAGAGACCCUCUUGCAUGGAGCUGAUGGGUUGAGCAGAGAAACUUCUGAGAUGAGUUUGGUGUAAAUCUGCAGUGGAGGGAAAGGCUUGCUGUAUUUAAUUUUUUUCCCCAUGAUAUUGGUUGAAGCAACAAACACUUCAUAUUUGUCUUACUUUUGAUAACAGAAGCAAUACAAACUUGAUAUCAAGUUUUCUCCCCUCAGCAUCAGACAUUGAAUUCUUCAAAUUUAGGGUUUCUUUUUGUGGGUGUUUAUUUAUGGAUCAAGGCCAUUUUGCUUUUUCCCCCUUUUGGUCAGAGAAAUAUUCUACAAAAUUGACAUUGUGGACAGACAUUGAAUUCUUUAAAUUUAGGGUUUCUGUUUGUGGAUUUUUGUUUAUGAA